rnacentral:misc_RNA from 1 species
GGGAUAACCAUCCUCUUCAUCUUAUCAUAUGGAGGUGGGACACCCUCAUAAGUCUUCAAACGUGCAAGUGCAGCCUCCCCACGCUUCGUCUUGUGUGGGAUCAUUCCACGGACGGUACGCCAGAAGAUCUUAGCAGGGGCGCGGAAGUGAAUGGGUCCAUGAGAAGGCUUGGUGUUCAUACGCUUGCGAAGGAAUCUCAUGUACUUCAUCUUCUGCCUUACCAGUCCUCCGGACAUGCAAAUCUCCUCACACCGUACCACCACCACUUUCUGCCCGUUCAGAAGCUCCUUCGCCACCGUCGACGCCAGCCGCCCCAGCAUAUGAUGCCUCGCGUCCACCACCACCACCUUCGCACAUAUCCCCGAUCCGGACACCAUUUUUGCACUCUCUCUCUCCCUCUCUCUCUCUCGCUACUGUCCUUUAAAUGCAAGUGGUAUAUAAGAGGAGGAUGGCUAGGGCUUUUGUAGGGUUAUUAAAUG